CGAGAUAUAACUCAGUUUGGUAGAGUGCGUGUACUUUGGGAGUACGAAGUCACAGGUUCAAGUCCUGUUAUCUCGA
rnacentral:tRNA from 1 species